GGUGGCUCAGUGGUAGAGUACUUGCCUUGCAUGCAUGAGGCCCUGGGUUCGAAUCCUCAGCACCA
rnacentral:tRNA from 1 species